GACGAACGCUGGCGGCGUGCCUAAUACAUGCAAGUAGAACGCUGAAGGAGGAGCUUGCUUCUCCGGAUGAGUUGCGAACGGGUGAGUAACGCGUAGGUAACCUGCCUGGUAGCGGGGGAUAACUAUUGGAAACGAUAGCUAAUACCGCAUAAGAGUAGAUGUUGCAUGACAUUUGCUUAAAAGGUGCAAUUGGAUCACUACCAGAUGGACCUGCGUUGUAUUAGCUAGUUGGUGGGGUAACGGCUCACCAAGGCGACGAUACAUAGCCGACCUGAGAGGGUGAUCGGCCACACUGGGACUGAGACACGGCCCAGACUCCUACGGGAGGCAGCAGUAGGGAAUCUUCGGCAAUGGACGGAAGUCUGACCGAGCAACGCCGCGUGAGUGAAGAAGGUUUUCGGAUCGUAAAGCUCUGUUGUAAGAGAAGAACGAGUGUGAGAGUGGAAAGUUCAC
rnacentral:rRNA from 1 species